UAAUCUUUGAUCUCUGAGAUUGCUACUAAUCUGAGAGAUGGGCCUGCUCGCUAACGGUGAUAUAUUUUCUGAAUUUUGUGCCAAUUCCAGGAGUGAGUGACAAGAUCAUAGAGAUGAGAAGCAAUUGACUAGAAGCUACGGCUCGCUAUCUGGCAGCUUGCGCAGACAAAUUCCCAUAUGCAUGCUGGCAGAGUGGCAGUAAGUUUUCCCCUAAAUUUUAUCCUAGAAACUUCAAUGUUUAGUUGCCAACUGAAAUAUGUGCAAUGAGUUAUUGUUCAUUUCACGCAUCUUGCUGGUAAAACUUGCUAUUAUCUCAUUUUUGUUCCCGGGAGCGCAACCUUGGGAGGGAUAAGGUCAGCUUAUGGCUCUCUGGUCAUUUUGUAAAUCUUGCUAAGUAUUUUUUUUUUGUUAUUGAUGGCCUCUUUAGCACGCAUCUAGUUUGUCGCCAUUUUCGUUUCUCUUGAAGCUAAAAGCGUUGCAACAACAGCUUGCUUGCUCGAGACCUAUUAUCAUAGCCAAAAUAUCAAAACUGGAGGUUUGGAGAUGAUCCUAUAGUGGCUGGAAAUGCAGUUGGUUACAGCUGAUUUACCAUUUGGAUUGCAUCUCGGAUUUACCCAUUAGAUUUCAUCUCAGAGUUUGUAAGGCCUUCAACUGUUAAUUAACUUCUGGUAGGAAGGUUUUCUAUACUGAUGUAUGCUUCUCAAAUUGAAUGUAAAAGUCUUAAUCAUUGCAAUAAUAAAAUCUUAAUUGUUUUUUGUCUUUUA